rnacentral:rRNA from 1 species
CGAGCAGGUGCGAAAGCAGGUCAUAGUGAUCCGGUGGUUCUGAAUGGAAGGGCCAUCGCUCAACGGAUAAAAGGUACUCCGGGGAUAACAGGCUGAUACCGCCCAAGAGUUCAUAUCGACGGCGGUGUUUGGCACCUCGAUGUCGGCUCAUCACAUCCUGGGGCUGAAGUAGGUCCCAAGGGUAUGGCUGUUCGCCAUUUAAAGUGGUACGCGAGCUGGGUUUAGAACGUCGUGAGACAGUUCGGUCCCUAUCUGCCGUGGGCGCUGGAGAACUGAGGGGGGCUGCUCCUAGUACGAGAGGACCGGAGUGGACGCAUCACUGGUGUUCGGGUUGUCAUGCCAAUGGCACUGCCCGGUAGCUAAAUGCGGAAGAGAUAAGUGCUGAAAGCAUCUAAGCACGAAACUUGCC